rnacentral:rRNA from 1 species
GAUGAACGCUGGCGGCGUGCCUAAUACAUGCAAGUCGAGCGAACGGACGAGAAGCUUGCUUCUCUGAUGUUAGCGGCGGACGGGUGAGUAACACUUGGAUAACCUACCUAUAAGACUGGGAUAACUUCGGGAAACCGGAGCUAAUACCGGAUAAUAUUUUUAACCGCAUGGUUCAAAAGUGAAAGACGGUCUUGCUGUCACUUAUAGAUGGAUCCGCGCUGCAUUAGCUAGUUGGUAAGGUAACGGCUUACCAAGGCAACGAUGCAUAGCCGACCUGAGAGGGUGAUCGGCCACACUGGAACUGAGACACGGUCCAGACUCCUACGGGAGGCAGCAGUAGGGAAUCUUCCGCAAUGGGCGAAAGCCUGACGGAGCAACGCCGCGUGAGUGAUGAAGGUCUUCGGAUCGUAAAACUCUGUUAUUAGGGAAGAACAUAUGUGUAAGUAACUGUGCACAUCUUGACGGUACCUAAUCAGAAAGCCACGGCUAACUACGUG